rnacentral:rRNA from 1 species
GACAGAGGAUGCAAGCGUUAUCCGGAAUGAUUGGGCGUAAAGCGUCUGUAGGUGGCUUUUUAAGUCUGCCGUCAAAUCCCAGGGCUUAACCCUGGACAGGCGGUGGAAACUACCAAGCUGGAGUACGGUAGGGGCAGGGGGAAUUUCCGGUGGAGCGGUGAAAUGCGUAGAGAUCGGAAAGAACACCAACGGCGAAAGCACUCUGCUGGGCCGACACUGACACUGAGGAGCGAAAGCGUGGGGAGCGAACAGG